AGAGUUUGAUCCUGGCUCAGAACGAACGCUGGCGGCAGGCCUAACACAUGCAAGUCGAACGAGCUGGGCCCUUCGGGGCCCGAUGCUAGUGGCGCACGGGUGAGUAACGCGUGGGAACGUUCCCUAUAGUUCGGAAUAACCCAGGGAAACUUGGGCUAAUACCGGAUACCUCCUUCGGGAGAAAGAUUUAUCGCUAUAGG
rnacentral:rRNA from 1 species